rnacentral:rRNA from 1 species
ACGGGGGGGGCAAGCGUUGUUCGGAAUUACUGGGCGUAAAGGGCUCGUAGGCGGUCACCGCAAGUCGACUGUGAAAUCUCCGGGCUUAACUCGGAACGGUCAGCUGAUACUGCUUUGCUAGAGUGCAGAAGGGGCAAUCGGAAUUCUUGGUGUAGCGGUGAAAUGCGUAGAUAUCAAGAGGAACACCUGAGGUGAAGACGGGUUGCUGGGCUGACACUGACGCUGAUGCGCGAAAGCCAGGGGAGCAAACGGGA